rnacentral:rRNA from 1 species
UACGUAGGGCGCAAGCGUUGUCCGGAAUUAUUGGGCGUAAAGAGCUCGUAGGCGGCUUGUCACGUCGAUUGUGAAAGCCCCGAGGCUUAACCUCGGGUCUGCAGUCGAUACGGGGCUAGCUAGAGUGUGGUAGGGGAGAUCGAAUUCCUGGUGUAGCGGUGAAAUGCGCAGAUAUCAGGAGGAACACCGGUGGCGAAGGCGGAUCUCUGGGCCAUUACUGACGCUGAGGAGCGAAAGCGUGGGGAGCGAACGG